rnacentral:piRNA from 1 species
UGGGUGUAAUUAGAUACAAAAGCGCCC